AUGGCUGUCGUCAGCUCGUGUCGUGAGAUGUUGGGUUAAGUCCCGCAACGAGCGCAACCCUUGUCCUUAGUUGCCAUCAUUUAGUUGGGAACUCUAAGGAGACCGCCGGUGACAAACCGGAGGAAGGUGGGGAUGACGUCAAAUCCUCAUGGCCCUUAUGUCCAGGGCUACACACGUGCUACAAUGGCCGGUACAACGGGAAGCAAUACCGCAAGGUGGAGCCAAACCCUGAAAGCCGGCCCCAGUUCAGAUUGUGGGCUGCAACUCGCCCACAUGAAGGUGGAAUCGCUAGUAAUCGCGAAUCAGCAGGUCGCGGUGAAUACGUUCCCAGGCCUUGUACACACCGCCCGUCACACCACGAAAGCCCGCUGCAACAGAAAUCGGUGAUCUAACCCGCAAGGGAGGAAGCCGCUGAAGUUGUGGUUGGUGAUUGGGGUGAAGUCGUAACAAGGUAGCCGUAUCGGAAGGUGCGGCUGGAUCACCUCCUUUCUAUUUUUAUCGAUGUUUGAUGAAAUUAGAAGUCGACCUUGGUUUCCCUGGGGCGUUUAUCGGCUCGCGCUUAAUAGGUGUUGGAUAUGUCGCAGACCCAUCUGGCUGCUUCGGGGUCUUCCUCAAUUGAUUUUUUCGGACCCGUAGCUCAGUUGGUUAGAGCGUACCCCUGAUAAGGGUAAGGUCGGCAGUUCGACUCUGCCCGGGUCCAGGCUUUUGGAGAAUUUCCUCCAAGGCGUAUGCAGGCUGGAUCAGUUCCCUAUGCCAGAGUGGAUCGGCGAUUGCGGGGGUGUAGCUCAGUUGGGAGAGCGCGUGCUUUGCAAGCACGAGGUCACCGGUUCGAUCCCGGUCACCUCCAUUUAAAUCACAACACCAUCAUGAAUUUUGACUCGGUUACUCCAGGACGUUAAAUCUGGGGACCGCGUUGUCGCACUGUAGGUUCUUUGACAAACAUAUAUCUAUAACCAAAUGGGCAAGCUUGUUUUUUAUCGCAAAGAUAAAAGACAAGUAGCAAACGUCAAGCACCUCAAUAAAAAGGUGUAAGCAUAAACAAGAGUGAAUGAUCAUAUUCGCGGCUUUCCAGCGAAAGGCUGGGAGGAUCGUGUGAUAUGGCCAAGCUACAAAGAGCAUAUGGUGGAUGCCUUGGCGGACGCCGUUGAUGAAGGACGUGGUAAGCUGCGAUAAGCUGCGGGGAGGCGCAAACAGCCUUUGAUCCGCAGAUUUCCGAAUGGGGAAACCCG
rnacentral:sRNA from 1 species